GGGUUGUGAGGUUAAGCGACUAAGCGUACACGGUGGAUGCCCUGGCAGUCAGAGGCGAUGAAGGGCGUGCUAAUCUGCGAUAAGCGCCGGUAAGGUGAUAUGAACCGUUAUAACCGGCGAUACCCGAAUGGGGAAACCCAGUGUGACUCGUCACACUAUCAUUAACUGAAUCCAUAGGUUAAUGAGGCGAACCGGGGGAACUGAAACAUCUAAGUACCCCGAGGAAAAGAAAUCAACCGAGAUUCCCCCAGUAGCGGCGAGCGAACGGGGAGGAGCCCAGAGCCUGAAUCAGCAUGUGUGUUAGUGGAAGCGUCUGGAAAGGCGCGCGAUACAGGGUGACAGCCCCGUACACAAAAGCGCAUGUGCUGUGAGCUCGAUGAGUAGGGCGGGACACGUGGUAUCCUGUCUGAAUAUGGGGGGACCAUCCUCCAAGGCUAAAUACUCCUGACUGACCGAUAGUGAACCAGUACCGUGAGGGAAAGGCGAAAAGAACCCCGGCGAGGGGAGUGAAAAAGAACCUGAAACCGUGUACGUACAAGCAGUGGGAGCACCCUUUGGGGUGUGACUGCGUACCUUUUGUAUAAUGGGUCAGCGACUUAUAUUCUGUAGCAAGGUUAACCGUAUAGGGGAGCCGUAGGGAAACCGAGUCUUAACCGGGCGUUAAGUUGCAGGGUAUAGACCCGAAACCCGGUGAUCUAGCCAUGGGCAGGUUGAAGGUUGGGUAACACUAACUGGAGGACCGAACCGACUAAUGUUGAAAAAUUAGCGGAUGACCUGUGGCUGGGGGUGAAAGGCCAAUCAAACCGGGAGAUAGCUGGUUCUCCCCGAAAGCUAUUUAGGUAGCGCCUCGUGAAUUCAUCUCCGGGGGUAGAGCACUGUUUCGGCUAGGGGGCCAUCCCGGCUUACCAACCCGAUGCAAACUGCGAAUACCGGAGAAUGUUAUCACGGGAGACACACGGCGGGUGCUAACGUCCGUCGUGAAGAGGGAAACAACCCAGACCGCCAGCUAAGGUCCCAAAGUCAUGGUUAAGUGGGAAACGAUGUGGGAAGGCCCAGACAGCCAGGAUGUUGGCUUAGAAGCAGCCAUCAUUUAAAGAAAGCGUAAUAGCUCACUGGUCGAGUCGGCCUGCGCGGAAGAUGUAACGGGGCUAAACCAUGCACCGAAGCUGCGGCAGCGACGCUUAUGCGUUGUUGGGUAGGGGAGCGUUCUGUAAGCCUGCGAAGGUGGCCUGUGAGGGUUGCUGGAGGUAUCAGAAGUGCGAAUGCUGACAUAAGUAACGAUAAAGCGGGUGAAAAGCCCGCUCGCCGGAAGACCAAGGGUUCCUGUCCAACGUUAAUCGGGGCAGGGUGAGUCGACCCCUAAGGCGAGGCCGAAAGGCGUAGUCGAUGGGAAACGGGUUAAUAUUCCCGUACUUGGUGUUACUGCGAAGGGGGGACGGAGAAGGCUAUGUUGGCCGGGCGACGGUUGUCCCGGUUUAAGCGUGUAGGUGUGUGUUCCAGGUAAAUCCGGUUCACUUUAACACUGAGGCGUGACGACGAGGCACUACGGUGCUGAAGCAACAAAUGCCCUGCUUCCAGGAAAAGCCUCUAAGCAUCAGGUAACAUCAAAUCGUACCCCAAACCGACACAGGUGGUCAGGUAGAGAAUACCAAGGCGCUUGAGAGAACUCGGGUGAAGGAACUAGGCAAAAUGGUGCCGUAACUUCGGGAGAAGGCACGCUGACACGUAGGUGAAGUGAUUUACUCAUGGAGCUGAAGUCAGUCGAAGAUACCAGCUGGCUGCAACUGUUUAUUAAAAACACAGCACUGUGCAAACACGAAAGUGGACGUAUACGGUGUGACGCCUGCCCGGUGCCGGAAGGUUAAUUGAUGGGGUCAGCGCAAGCGAAGCUCCUGAUCGAAGCCCCGGUAAACGGCGGCCGUAACUAUAACGGUCCUAAGGUAGCGAAAUUCCUUGUCGGGUAAGUUCCGACCUGCACGAAUGGCGUAAUGAUGGCCAGGCUGUCUCCACCCGAGACUCAGUGAAAUUGAACUCGCUGUGAAGAUGCAGUGUACCCGCGGCAAGACGGAAAGACCCCGUGAACCUUUACUAUAGCUUGACACUGAACAUUGAGCCUUGAUGUGUAGGAUAGGUGGGAGGCUUUGAAGUGUGGACGCCAGUCUGCAUGGAGCCGACCUUGAAAUACCACCCUUUAAUGUUUGAUGUUCUAACGUGGACCCGUUACCCGGGUUGCGGACAGUGUCUGGUGGGUAGUUUGACUGGGGCGGUCUCCUCCUAAAGAGUAACGGAGGAGCACGAAGGUUGGCUAAUCCUGGUCGGACAUCAGGAGGUUAGUGCAAUGGCAUAAGCCAGCUUGACUGCGAGCGUGACGGCGCGAGCAGGUGCGAAAGCAGGUCAUAGUGAUCCGGUGGUUCUGAAUGGAAGGGCCAUCGCUCAACGGAUAAAAGGUACUCCGGGGAUAACAGGCUGAUACCGCCCAAGAGUUCAUAUCGACGGCGGUGUUUGGCACCUCGAUGUCGGCUCAUCACAUCCUGGGGCUGAAGUAGGUCCCAAGGGUAUGGCUGUUCGCCAUUUAAAGUGGUACGCGAGCUGGGUUUAGAACGUCGUGAGACAGUUCGGUCCCUAUCUGCCGUGGGCGCUGGAGAACUGAGGGGGGCUGCUCCUAGUACGAGAGGACCGGAGUGGACGCAUCACUGGUGUUCGGGUUGUCAUGCCAAUGGCACUGCCCGGUAGCUAAAUGCGGAAGAGAUAAGUGCUGAAAGCAUCUAAGCACGAAACUUGCCCCGAGAUGAGUUCUCCCUGAGACUUAAAGUCUCCUGAAGGAACGUUGAAGACGACGACGUUGAUAGGCCGGGUGUGUAAGCGCAGCGAUGCGUUGAGCUAACCGGUACUAAUGAACCGUGAGGCUUAACCUUACAACGCCGAAG
rnacentral:rRNA from 2 species